UACGGGGGGGGCAAGCGUUGUUCGGAAUUACUGGGCGUAAAGGGUCUGUAGGUGGCCAACUAAGUCAGACGUGAAAUCCCUCAGCUUAACUGGGGAACUGCGUCUGAUACUGGUUGGCUUGAGUGCAGGAGAGGAAUGCGGAAUUCCAGGUGUAGCGGUGAAAUGCGUAGAUAUCUGGAGGAACACCGGUGGCGAAGGCGGAUCUCUGGGCCUGUCCUGACGCUCAGGCGCGAAAGCUAGGGGAGCAAACAGG
rnacentral:rRNA from 1 species